rnacentral:rRNA from 1 species
AAGUGGCGAACGGGUGAGUAACGCGUGAGAAACCUGCCUUGUAGAGGGGAAUAACAGUCCCAACGGAUUGCUAAUACCGCAUGAGCUCGAUGGAUCGCAUGGUUCGUCGAGGAAAGGUGGCCUCUGCUCGCAAGCUACCGCUACAAGAGGGUCUCGCGUCCGAUUAGCUAGUUGGCGGUGUAAAAGACCACCAAGGCGACGAUCGGUAGCUGGUCUGAGAGGAUGGUCAGCCACACUGGGACUGAGAUACGGCCCAGACUCCUACGGGAGGCAGCAGUCGAGAGGCUUCGGCAAUGGGGGAAACCCUGACCGAGCGACGCCGCGUGGAGGAUGAAGGCCCUUGGGUUGUAAACUCCUUUCGUGGGGGAAGAAUGUAUUCGAGGUAAAUAAUCUCGAGUAUUGACGGUACCCCAAGAAGAAGCUCCGGCUAACUCCGUGCCAGCAGCCGCGGUAAUACGGGGGGAGCAAGCGUUGUUCGGAAUCACUGGGCGUAAAGGGCGUCUAGGCGGUUCGGUAAGUGGGAUGUGAAAUCCCCGGACUUACCCCGGGACCUGCAUCCCAAACUGCUGAGCUUGAGUACAGGAGGGGGUGGGGGAAUUCCAGGUGUAGCGGUGAAAUGCGUAGAUAUCUGGAGGAACACCGGUGGCGAAGGCGCCCACCCGGCCUGUUAC